rnacentral:rRNA from 1 species
CGGGGUGAGUAACGCGUGAGCAAUCUGCCCAUAUCAGGGGAAUAACAGUUAGAAAUGACUGCUAAUACCGCAUAGGACCACGGGGAGGCAUCUCUCUGAGGUGAAAGAUUUAUCGGAUAUGGAUGAGCUCGCGUCCCAUUAGGUAGUUGGUGAGGUAACGGCCCACCAAGCCGACGAUGGGUAGCCGGCCUUAGAGGGUGAUCGGCCACAUUGGAACUGAGACACGGUCCAAACUCCUACGGGAGGCAGCAG